UACGGAGGGGGGCUAGCGUUGUUCGGAAUUACUGGGCGUAAAGCGCACGUAGGCGGCUUUGUAAGUUAGAGGUGAAAGCCCGGGGCUCAACUCCGGAAUUGCCUUUAAGACUGCAUCGCUCGAGUUGUGGAGAGGUAAGUGGAAUUCCGAGUGUAGAGGUGAAAUUCGUAGAUAUUCGGAAGAACACCAGUGGCGAAGGCGACUUACUGGACACAUACUGACGCUGAGGUGCGAAAGCGUGGGGAGCAAACAGG
rnacentral:rRNA from 1 species